rnacentral:tRNA from 1 species
CCUUCGAUAGCUCAGUUGGUAGAAGCGGUGGACUGUUAGAAGUUGUGAUGGUUAUCCCAUAGGUCGCUGGUUCGAAUCCGGCUCGAAGGA